rnacentral:rRNA from 1 species
GAAUCCUACGGGGGGCAGCAGUGGGGAAUUUUGCGCAAUGCUCGUAAGAGUGACGCAGCGACGCCGCGUGAAUGACGAAGGCCUUCGGGUCGUAAAGUUCUUUCGACAGGGAAGAAAAUGCCUAUAAGUAACUGUGUAUGUAUUGACGGUACCUGUAUAAGCAGCCCCGGCUAACUACGUGCCAGCAGCCGCGGUAAAACGUAGGGGGCGAGCGUUGUCCGGAAUGACUGGGCGUAAAGGGUGCGUAGGCGGCAUAAUAAGUUAGAAGUGAAAUACCCAGAGCUUAACUCGGGUGCUGCUUCUAA